GACAGAGGGUGCAAACGUUGUUCGGAAUUACUGGGCGUAAAGCGCGUGUAGGCGGCCCAGCACGUCGGAUGUGAAAGCCCUGGGCUUAACCUAGGAAGUGCAUUCGAAACUGCUGGGCUUGAGUUCUGGAGAGGAAGGCGGAAUUCUCGGUGUAGAGGUGAAAUUCGUAGAUAUCGAGAGGAACACCGGUGGCGAAGGCGGCCUUCUGGACAGUGACUGACGCUGAGACGCGAAAGCGUGGGGAGCAAACAGG
rnacentral:rRNA from 1 species